rnacentral:rRNA from 1 species
GCCUACAGCCAUACCACCCUGAACACGCUUGAUCUCAUCUGAUCUCAGAAGCUAAGCAGAGUCGGUCUUGGUUAGUACUUGGAUGAUUUCAUUUCUUUUAGAUAUAUACCCAGUAAAUGGGAU